UACAGAGGGGGCAAGCGUUAUUCGGAAUUAUUGGGCGUAAAGGGCGCGUAGGCGGCCUGGCAAGUGGAUGGUGAAAUCCCUCGGCUUAACCGAGGAACUGCCAUCCAGACUGCUUGGCUUGAGACCGGGAGAGGUGAGUGGAAUUCCCAGUGUAGCGGUGAAAUGCGUAGAUAUCGGGAGGAACACCUGUGGCGAAAGCGGCUCACUGGACAGUAACUGACGCUGAGGCACGAAAGCGUGGGUAGCAAACAGG
rnacentral:rRNA from 1 species